CUUGGGUCGUACAAAGGGGAAUAACUCUUAUUGCAACGUUGUGCUUUGGAAGUGAGCUGACGAGAGGUGUCGCUUUACAUCCGGUGGAAACGAAUGUAAUAUAUCGUAAGGUCAUGGAAAUACAGAAAAAAGACUGCUACCUGUUCUAGGCAAGGGUGGAAUCGUUACAAGAAAGGCCUUUGAUUAUAUGAUGUGUUGCAUUUCUGAUGUCAGUUUUUUUUGUGUAAUAAAUAAAAAUCUUUUAUAUAUCUGC